rnacentral:rRNA from 1 species
UGCCCUGGCAGUCAGAGGCGAUGAAGGACGUGCUAAUCUGCGAUAAGCGUCGGUAAGGUGAUAUGAACCGUUAUAACCGGCGAUUUCCGAAUGGGGAAACCCAGUGUGAUUCGUCACACUAUCAUUAACUGAAUCCAUAGGUUAAUGAGGCGAACCGGGGGAACUGAAACAUCUAAGUACCCCGAGGAAAAGAAAUCAACCGAGAUUCCCCCAGUAGCGGCGAGCGAACGGGGAGGAGCCCAGAGCCUGAAUCAGUGUGUGUGUUAGUGGAAGCGUCUGGAAAGGCGCGCGAUACAGGGUGACAGCCCCGUACACAAAAAUGCACAUACUGUGAGCUCGAUGAGUAGGGCGGGACACGUGGUAUCCUGUCUGAAUAUGGGGGGACCAUCCUCCAAGGCUAAAUACUCCUGACUGACCGAUAGUGAACCAGUACCGUGAGGGAAAGGCGAAAAGAACCCCGGCGAGGGGAGUGAAAAAGAACCUGAAACCGUGUACGUACAAGCAGUGGGAGCACGCUUCGGCGUGUGACUGCGUACCUUUUGUAUAAUGGGUCAGCGACUUAUAUUCUGUAGCAAGGUUAACCGAAUAGGGGAGCCGAAGGGAAACCGAGUCUUAACUGGGCGUUAAGUUGCAGGGUAUAGACCCGAAACCCGGUGAUCUAGCCAUGGGCAGGUUGAAGGUUGGGUAACACUAACUGGAGGACCGAACCGACUAAUGUUGAAAAAUUAGCGGAUGACUUGUGGCUGGGGGUGAAAGGCCAAUCAAACCGGGAGAUAGCUGGUUCUCCCCGAAAGCUAUUUAGGUAGCGCCUCGUGAAUUCAUCUCCGGGGGUAGAGCACUGAUUCGGCAAGGGGGUCAUCCCGACUUACCAACCCGAUGCAAACUGCGAAUACCGGAGAAUGUUAUCACGGGAGACACACGGCGGGUGCUAACGUCCGUCGUGAAGAGGGAAACAACCCAGACCGCCAGCUAAGGUCCCAAAGUCAUGGUUAAGUGGGAAACGAUGUGGGAAGGCCCAGACAGCCAGGAUGUUGGCUUAGAAGCAGCCAUCAUUUAAAGAAAGCGUAAUAGCUCACUGGUCGAGUCGGCCUGCGCGGAAGAUGUAACGGGGCUAAACCAUGCACCGAAGCUGCGGCAGCGACACUAUGUGUUGUUGGGUAGGGGAGCGUUCUGUAAGCCUGUGAAGGUGUACUGUGAGGUAUGCUGGAGGUAUCAGAAGUGCGAAUGCUGACAUAAGUAACGAUAAAGCGGGUGAAAAGCCCGCUCGCCGGAAGACCAAGGGUUCCUGUCCAACGUUAAUCGGGGCAGGGUGAGUCGACCCCUAAGGCGAGGCCGAAAGGCGUAGUCGAUGGGAAACAGGUUAAUAUUCCUGUACUUGGUGUUACUGCGAAGGGGGGACGGAGAAGGCUAUGUUGGCCGGGCGACGGUUGUCCCGGUUUAAGCGUGUAGGCUGAUUUUCCAGGCAAAUCCGGAAAAUCAAGGCUGAGGCGUGAUGACGAGGCACUACGGUGCUGAAGCAACAAAUGCCCUGCUUCCAGGAAAAGCCUCUAAGCAUCAGGUAACAUCAAAUCGUACCCCAAACCGACACAGGUGGUCAGGUAGAGAAUACCAAGGCGCUUGAGAGAACUCGGGUGAAGGAACUAGGCAAAAUGGUGCCGUAACUUCGGGAGAAGGCACGCUGAUAUGUAGGUGAAGCGACUUGCUCGUGGAGCUGAAAUCAGUCGAAGAUACCAGCUGGCUGCAACUGUUUAUUAAAAACACAGCACUGUGCAAACACGAAAGUGGACGUAUACGGUGUGACGCCUGCCCGGUGCCGGAAGGUUAAUUGAUGGGGUUAGCGGUAACGCGAAGCUCUUGAUCGAAGCCCCGGUAAACGGCGGCCGUAACUAUAACGGUCCUAAGGUAGCGAAAUUCCUUGUCGGGUAAGUUCCGACCUGCACGAAUGGCGUAAUGAUGGCCAGGCUGUCUCCACCCGAGACUCAGUGAAAUUGAACUCGCUGUGAAGAUGCAGUGUACCCGCGGCAAGACGGAAAGACCCCGUGAACCUUUACUAUAGCUUGACACUGAACAUUGAGCCUUGAUGUGUAGGAUAGGUGGGAGGCUUUGAAGUGUGGACGCCAGUCUGCAUGGAGCCGACCUUGAAAUACCACCCUUUAAUGUUUGAUGUUCUAACGUUGACCCGUGAUCCGGGUUGCGGACAGUGUCUGGUGGGUAGUUUGACUGGGGCGGUCUCCUCCUAAAGAGUAACGGAGGAGCACGAAGGUUGGCUAAUCCUGGUCGGACAUCAGGAGGUUAGUGCAAUGGCAUAAGCCAGCUUGACUGCGAGCGUGACGGCGCGAGCAGGUGCGAAAGCAGGUCAUAGUGAUCCGGUGGUUCUGAAUGGAAGGGCCAUCGCUCAACGGAUAAAAGGUACUCCGGGGAUAACAGGCUGAUACCGCCCAAGAGUUCAUAUCGACGGCGGUGUUUGGCACCUCGAUGUCGGCUCAUCACAUCCUGGGGCUGAAGUAGGUCCCAAGGGUAUGGCUGUUCGCCAUUUAAAGUGGUACGCGAGCUGGGUUUAGAACGUCGUGAGACAGUUCGGUCCCUAUCUGCCGUGGGCGCUGGAGAACUGAGGGGGGCUGCUCCUAGUACGAGAGGACCGGAGUGGACGCAUCACUGGUGUUCGGGUUGUCAUGCCAAUGGCACUGCCCGGUAGCUAAAUGCGGAAGAGAUAAGUGCUGAAAGCAUCUAAGCACGAAACUUGCCCCGAGAUGAGUUCUCCCUGACUCCUUGAGAGUCCUGAAGGAACGUUGAAGACGACGACGUUGAUAGGCCGGGUGUGUAAGCGCAGCGAUGCGUUGAGCUAACCGGUACUAAUGAACCGUGAGGCUUAACCUU